ensembl:lncRNA
AGGAGGCCUCUGAACAGCAUUCAUCUAUAUGGGUUCCUCUGAAGAAUGCUUUAUUUCUAUGAACUUUGGCAACAAGUAAUGCGAAUUAUACUUAUCAUGCACUCAGAGAAAUCUUCACUUCUCAGAGAGUAGAGGUCUAAAGGAGGGCUCUAUGGAUAGCUGAUAUGAGCCAAUCCCAGUGCAGCAAGCUAACCAAGAAAGCAUUCCUGGUAGAAAUGGUUCUCCUGCCUCACCCCUUGGAGAAAUGAGACAAGCACAACACACUGUCUUCUCGGAAGCUUCUAAUUUUGAGAAUGAAAAACCAGAAAAGAAAAAGUAAGUCAAAUAUACUUCAUAAACUUUGUGUUCUCUUGGUUCUAUAAUGUUAAAUGUGAGUAUUUUAGUGGGUUUCUUGCCAAAGUACUUUUUUUUCACUGC